AUUGAACGCUAGCGGGAUGCUUUAAACAUGCAAGUCGAACGAGUGGCGGACGGGUGAGAAAUCAAUCGGAACGUGCCCAGUAGCGGGGGAUAACUACUCGAAAGAGUGGCAAAUACCGGAUAAUAUUGGCGCGGGCGAUAUCGGAUUAGCUAGUGGGUGGGGUAAGGGCCAACCAAGGCAACGAUCCGUAGCUGGUUUAAGAGGACGACCAGCCACACUGGGACUGAGACACGGCCCAGACGCCUACGGGAGGCAGCAGUGGGGAAUUUUGGACAAUGGGGGAAACCCUGAUCCAGCCAUCCCGCGUGUAUGAGAAGGCCUUCGGGUUGUAAAGUACUUUUGGCAGAGAAGCGGUAUCUGCAGAAUAAGCACCGGCUAACUACGUGCCAGCAGCCGCGGUAAUUC
rnacentral:rRNA from 1 species